GACGAACGCUGGCGGCGUGCCUAACACAUGCAAGUCGAGCGAAUGAAGUUCCUUCGGGAAUGGAUUUAGCGGCGGACGGGUGAGUAACACGUGGGCAACCUGCCUCCUAGAGGGGAAUAGCCUUCCGAAAGGGAGAUUAAUACCGCAUAAGAUUGUAGUAUCGCAUGAUACAGCAAUUAAAGGAGCAAUCCGCUAUGAGAUGGGCCCGCGGCGCAUUAGCUAGUUGGUGAGGUAACGGCUCACCAAGGCGACGAUGCGUAGCCGACCUGGGAGGGUGAUCGGCCACAUUGGGACUGAGACACGGCCCAGACUCCUACGGAAGGCAGCAGUGGGGAAUAUUGCACAAUGGGGGAAACCCUGAUGCAGCAACGCCGCGUGAGUGAUGACGGCCUUCGGGUUGUAAAGCUCUGUCUUCAGGGACGAUAAUGACGGUACCUGAGGAGGAAGCCACGGCUAACUACGUG
rnacentral:rRNA from 1 species